rnacentral:rRNA from 1 species
GACUAACGCUGGCGGCGUGCCUAACACAUGCAAGUCGAACGAGGUAGCAAUACCUAGUGGCAGACGGGUGAGUAACGCGUAGGUAAUGUGCCCUCCUGCGGGGGAUACCGUUCCGAAAGGGACGUUAAUACCGCAUAACAUGCUUCAGGGGCAUCUCUGGAGUAUCAAACUUCCGGGGUAGGGGGAGCAGCCUGCGUUCUAUCAGCUUGUUGGUGAGGUAAUGGCUCACCAAGGCUACGACGGAUAACUGGUCUGAGAGGAUGACCAGUCACACUGGGACUGAGACACGGCCCAGACUCCUACGGGAGGCAGCAGUGAGGAAUAUUGCGCAAUGGGCGAAAGCCUGACGCAGCGACGCCGCGUGGAGGAUGAAGGCCCUCGGGUUGUAAACUCCUGUCAGUGGGGAAGAGAACGGACGGUACCCACUGAGGAAGCUUCGGCUAACUACGUGCCAGCAGCCGCCGCCGUAA